rnacentral:rRNA from 1 species
UACGGAGGGUGCAAGCGUUAUCCGGAUUCACUGGGUUUAAAGGGUGCGUAGGAGGGCAGGUAAGUCAGUGGUGAAAUCUUCGAGCUUAACUCGGAAACUGCCGUUGAUACUAUCUGUCUUGAAUACCGUGGAGAUGAGCGGAAUAUGUCAUGUAGCGGUGAAAUGCUUAGAUAUGACAUAGAACACCAAUUGCGAAGGCAGCUCGUUUACACGAAUAUUGACUCUGAGGCACGAAAGCGUGGGGAUCAAACAGG